UGGAUGCACAUGUGGCUAGUGACAACAUCACAGAGUAGAGCAAGUAGUCGAAGUUCAGAACGAUAGCAAUCACUCCGACUGCCUGCUUGGCAUUUCGUAGCCUUCCGGUAAGCAAGACCAAAAUCUCAUAGCACCACCAUUCAAGGCAGGUGGUAAGACAACAUGGUCCACUAAGCUUGAGCAGUCUAAGGCAGUCUUCAACACGUUGAUCCCACCAGCCUCCCUCAUUCCAUUUCCCUCCCUUUCUAAUCUCUUUCACCACUACAUACAAGACUAGAAGGAUUGCAGCUAUGAGAUCACUUAUCCAGAUUGCCAUUGAAACCCCUUCAAGACCCUUAGCUUUUGCAAGAAAGAUAUUGAUGGGGAUGUGAAAAGCAAGCGCUAAAGCCGAGCUAAACAUAAUGGGGAUUGUUAUGCUUUGAGAGCUCAAAUAGGCCUUGAGAGGGCAUAGCAAUGAAGUGACAACCAAGUCAGGGAGAAGAUAGAAAAGAUAUGUCUUUGCAACUGCUGAAAUGUCUUCUUUUUGGCCAAAAUGGAUUAGAAUUUUAUCAACAUUAAGCCAUAGGAAAGAAAGAGGCAGUGUAGUUAACAGUAACAAGAUUAUGGUCAUCAAAAGUGUCUUGUGAAGGAGCCUGAAGUUUUUAGCUCCAAAAGCUUGACCACAGAUAGGUUCCAUGGCACCACAAAGUCCAUUGAGGACGGAGAAACCUGUGACAUUAGCGAAGGUGAAACCGAGUGUGCCACCAGCUAACUGGAGCUCCCCUAGCCUGCCUAGAAAAGCUGUAGUCACCGCGAUCUUCACAAACCAGGUUAAGUUCAUGGCCACCAAAGGAAGUGCUAGUCCUCUCUGUAUUUUCAGCUCUGAAAGCAUUAUCUGUAUUAGGUUGGCCGGCCAUUUCUUGGUGGGAUAUGAAACUGAAGGUGACUGAGAUGGUUUGUCAGUUGGGAUCUCUUCCACUCUUGAUGUUGCAGUUGCAGGCAUUAUGGAAGAAAAUUGGUGGGGUUGCUUCAAAAUCCGAAUAUAUAAGAUGGGAAAUCUGGUUUCUUAAAUAAGUAUGAAUUGAAGGCUUAGUGUUUGCUAGUGCACGAGUUUUUUGUGAGGAUAUCAGUUUCUGAAGGAGCAAAUAAGGUGCCUAUUUGUUGCAAGUUCGUAACAGCCAAUUAAUGAAAAGAGAGUUGAGCUGUUGAUUUAAAGUGCGUGAUGAUAAGGCAAAGUUCCAAAGGACAAAUCACCUUUAUAUCUCGUGAGAUAUUCGUUUCAGUGGUUUUUUCUUUCCUUAGAAUAUUUACUAUUGCUGCUUUGGAAUAGUUUUACUAUCUAACUAACCUUUCUAUUUAGCACUUGAUUCAUUGCUUAAAUAGUAACUAAGAUUGUCCUGUAAGGUAAUCAACCAGACGCUUUGCAUGCUUUCUUUUGUUCAUAUAGGGCGAAUAUAGCAUUGAAACAAGGGUAGUUGAAAAAUCAUCUCCAUGUGAGAAGUUUUAAGAGGAAACUAAAUAAAGAACAUUAUCACAUAAUAUUCAAGAGAAAAACAACAUGUUUUCAUCUGGUUUUCAUUUACCCUUUACAUUGCAUUGCAAUUCUAAGGGGUAAAAUGAUUGGAGGAUUAAUAUAAUGAAGGUGGGAGAUUUGGUGUAAAAGGCGUAAGCAAUAAUGCGGUGGUCCUUCAUCUGUUAGCUGCUUUGCGUUUUGAGGAUGAAUCGGGUUUCACUAAAAAUUCUAAGCUAUAAGGAACCAAAAGUGGGGUAGCUAUGCCACUCCAUAUCUAAGCUUUUUGCUUUCAUUUUCUAAAGUAAAUAAUAGUUUAUUUAAUAUUCUUAUCACUUCAUAUUUCUUCAGUUUACAUUCAACUGAGUUUACUUCUCUACAUUUGUAUCGUGCAAUUAGGCAGGAGAAUAUGAGGUUGAAUAAAUCAGUUACAUGUAUUCUUACAGAUAAGUGCAGAGACAUGGCUACUUAAUCUGUGGAAAAGAGGAAUUAGAGUAUAUGUCGAAUGGAAUCAAUAGUAUUUUAUGUGAAAAAUUCUUAGGAAUCACAUGUAGAAGGAAUGUAAGGAGUGCUACUUUAACGGAAGCAUUGUAGAAAGUAAUGGCUUUUUCACCGAGGUUUGAUUCCGUUCGGUUUUCUCAAAUUUUUUUCUCAGCCAUAUUGUUCACUAACAGAUUAUAUGUUAUUGCCUUAAUUUAGUAGCCUGAGAGGGAAGAAAACAUUGAGCCUUUCGAGAUAAACAGGAUCCCAAUUACCAUAUCUUAUCAUAGUGGAAGUAAAAGGGGCUAAGAAUACAACUUUGUAAGAUAUGCUAUCAGUGGGAUUUCAAGGAACUAUGCACCACUUCCCAAUAUUAGAAAAAAGGGUACUUUUUCCUAAAAAGGAAGAGGCACCUGGUUUUCUUUCUGUUGGCUUUUCUUUGUAAGGAAGAAAAGAAAGACAAACCAAAGUUUGUGACUUGUUACAUUUUUCAGUUUCAGUACAUAAUUUACAUACAAAGUGUAGCCUUAUAUAGGAAAAAUAUUACCAACUGCAAUUUGACAAGUUGGAAAGCCUAAGAACUUGAAAUUACACAUUGGCAAUAGCACCGUUAAAAUUAUCCUAUCAAAUUUAAGAUAAAUAAAAUAAGCUAACAACUUUUCUAAACAAGUUGGCAACUUGCCAACAUGUAUCAAACAUCGGGAUAGUCUAUAGUACCUCAACUUGGCAUAGUCAGUUAGCAUCUUGAUAGUCAGUUGGCAAUAGCUAGGCAGCUUGCGUCUUGUGUAUCCGCGAGUCUUGUUCGUAUUUGGACAAUCCGCCAGAUAGUCCGCCAAAGGUUGUCAGCUAGAUAGUUCUCCAACUGACAAUCCACCAUUCUUCUUGCAUUUGGCCUAUCCGUCGGAUGACUUACACCAUUGUUGUUCACGGGACUGCAUGUUCUUGAUUUGUUCGCACUUUGCUUGUCCGCCAAAUGUGCGAGCUGUUGCAUGAAUGGGCUCUCAGAACACUUUCAUUUUCACUUUCUAAUUGUAUAGAAAAGAAAAGAUAGAGAAACCAAUCUAUUUUGGUUUGAUGCAGAUGUUGCAGUCCACUAGGUUGGAGAUGUACGCACGGUAGCAUAGUGUUAUUAUCAAACAAAUUAAUGAACUACCAAUCCUCUAUCAUUGAUUGCACACAAAUUUUAUCAUAAUGAGCUGUUUGGAUGCAAUGAAAAUUCAAGUCUCUAAUCUCUAUACAUCGCCCUUCACUGCAGCAAGGGAAAAAAAAUCAACCAUAUACUUCUAUCGUUGGAAAGAUCCAAUGGCCUCUCAAAAGUUCUAAAAGGAUACGAAAUAUACGAAAUAGGUAUGUCGGCAGAUAUUAUUACUAUGAGCAGCAGCAAGUGAACUAGAGAGCAAAAGGGUAGUAAACAGUCGAUUUAUAAUCUCUAUUAAGAUAUGUUCUUGAAAUUGUUCAAGAAAAUUUUGUGUGCUUUCUCGAGAGGCAUUGGCCUUAUUUGAUGAAAGAUGCACGGUCGGAAAUGAUUGAGCAAUAUCUGGCUGGAAAGCCACCUCAUCUUCCAACUUCUUUUGUUUCUCUUCAUCUAAUUAAGCAAUCUUAGGCUAUUCGGAGAUAAGUCCCAAGUUGCAAUUUAUAUCGGUCCUAUAAUAAUUAAGCCAUGAAGAUUAUGUGUUUAGUGAAAGCCACACUGUCAAAGGGCCAACUCCUGUUGGUAAACAUUGCACUAAGUUGAUAAAUCAGGAAUACGAGUUAAAUAAUUUGAGGCAUGUUAGGCACUACUUUUAAGAAUAUUUUGUCAUAAUGUGUAUUUUUAGGACUCAACAAGCUCAUUCGUUAUAAAAAUACGGAAAAGAAUCAACAAUAGAUCACGACGAAAAGUACUUAACAAUCACAAAAAAAUGAAGAGGACGAGCAAGAGAGGAAUAAUAGAGUUUUUUUAUGGUGUGUUUAGAAUGAAAGUGAGCCAAGAUAUUUUAGAAUAGCAAAUGUAAGUUGAGUAAAAUAAAGUAAGAGGAUUUCCCUUAAACAAAAAUAAUUUUAAAAAAUGGUUUAACUAAUUUAGACUUGACUAAAUAUAGCUUCGUAUAAGCUAUUUUUAGCUUUAACCUUUUAGAAAUUUAGUAAAUAAAAAGUCUAGAAACAAAAGGGUUUGGAUGCCGUGAUGUAUCACGUGCGGCGGGGGUGGCGGGGGGAUCGAUCAAUUUACAUUGGUCUUUUGAGCCUAGUUCUCAUGCGUGCUUGAUGGGUUCCGAGUCCACUAAAAAUAAUAUUCCUACACUUAAAUAGUAUAUAAAUAGUAAUAUAUGGAGUAGGGUUGAUCCCACAAAAACUGGGAUAUCUAAAAUUGUUGUUCGAUUUAACCAAGUUGUAUGUUAGGCAACUGUCGUGCCUAAGAUGUGUGACAAUCUGUGUGAAAAUAAAAAGGGAGUAUUAAAUCUAGUUAAAAUGAAAACAAUAGAAAUAAUUAAAAUCAAAAUAGCAGUAAAAUAAACAAAAAUGAAAUUAUAUUGACUAAAUUGAUGUGACGAUGUUCUAACUUUAGGCUCGAUUUUAGCUCCGGUUUUAAACCAAUCUUUAAUAACAAGUUUUCUCAUUUAAUUGGUAAGUUAGUUAUAGUGAUCGAGGAUGCUUUAGACCAAUAACUCUUCCAUGUGUAAAUUAAUUGCGCGAAUGCUCGACAUAUAACCCUUACUGAAUGAACAACCACAAAACACGUAUCCACGAUUUAACUCUUCGGUAGCCUUACGAACUAGAAGGGCCCAACUCAAAUCAACAACCUCAACUGCGUAGAUCGUUUAAAUACCAUUUCCCUUGAUGAAUCCAACCACUCACUCAAUUGAACAUUCCAGUGACGAAGCUAAAGGGGUUGACAGGGUCUUGCCCAUAAAAUAAAAAAUUCCUUUAUAAUUUAUAAAAUUUUAAAUUAAUAAAAAUAAAUUUAUACUUGGUCCCUCAAAUGCUACGAUUCUUAUCCUAGCUAACUACACCUAUAUCACCCAAUAAUUAAUUAGCUUUCUUGUUCCAAUUCCACUCUUUACUGAUUUAAAUAUUGGUUGGAAUUUAUGGUAAGCUUAAUCAAGUGACACUAAUGGGGCCAAACCAAUCAUGAUAUUAUUAUUAUAGUAUUUGAUUUGAUUUUUAGUGGAAUCAGAGUUGUACCUCUUAACUUUGUUUCACUCCAUAAAUGAUGGGUGCAUGAUGACAACACAACUUGAAUAACUUUCCAAGUGAGUCAAGGAAAGAAACACUAAAAAGACAGAGACAGCAAAACGAAAAAUAAAGUUAAAAUUUUCUUGUACUCAAGUUUAAGGCCUCUCAUUUUCUGGUCUCCACUUAACUCUUAUAAUUGCCAAACAAAAUGGAUGGGUUUUCUUUGCCAAAUUUGAAAAUGGUUCCAUAUAAGUUAUCUAUCAAUUGAAAUGCACCCAAAAGUGUUCCAACUAUCUGCAUUUUAGUGUUAUGUGUGAAUUCUCAACCCUUAAGUCUUGUAUACAAAUUAAAUGGUUCCAUAGACAUUUUUGGGAUGGCCUAGGAAAAUCUAAGCUCUGUGCGGUAUCAUCUUCAACACCUCACCGCACUUAAAGAGAUUCAUUGCAUAUUCAGAACUUCAAUGGAGUGUAAGCUUAGCUGGACAUGUUGGGAAACCUAGCACUUUGCUUCCCUGUUUAGCUUGUUUCUUUGAGCUGUAUUCUGAAUGGACAUAUGAGCAUGACCAUUGUUCUCCAGCAUCCCUGUAAAGCUGUUGCAUUCUGCAAAUUCUUGUCUAGGACAUUCUUCAAGGUCAUAUGAAGUUCUUCAUAUGUAGAAUUCAUGGCAUUGAAGCUCUAACAAUCUUAUCAUCGUGUGCUUUUCAUACUUCGUUGUCAUUUACCUUGUUAACUGUUUCCAGAUUCCCAUCAGAGGCAAGUAUAUGCGCCUUAUCGGCUUCUUCAUGCCACUUUAUUCUCACAACCAUCACCAACAACAAUGCCAAACAUGUUGCCAUCCCAACUAAAAGUCCUAUCAAUAACCCGCUCAGUCCAAGUGCAGCUUUGAAUGCCAAAACAACACCCAACGGUAAAGCUAAGAGAUAGAAGCCCCCAAGGUUUGCAUACAUUGCCAACCAUGGCCGAGCUGUUCCACGAACAAUUCCUCCACAAACAGCUAAGGGGAAGUUUACAACUUCAAUCACUGCCAUUAGCAGCAUCAUCUUUUUCACUCCUGUUAUGAUUCCUUUGUCAUGGCUAAACAGAGGAGCCCAAACGCCUCUCGCGCCCACCAUUGCCAAUGCACCAACGCAACCGGAAAUUGUGCUCACUGCAAGAGUUACGUAUGCAGACUGGUAGGCGGCUAUGGGCUGGUUUGAACCGAGCUCAUUAGAUACACGAGUAGAUGCACACGUGGCAAGUGAUAACAUCACAGAGUAGAGCAAGUAGUCGAAGUUCAGAACGAUAGCAAUCACUCCGACUGCCUGCUUGGCAUUCCGUAGCCUUCCGGUAAGCAAGACUAGAAUCUCAUAGCACCACCAUUCAAGGCAGGUGGUAAGACAACAUGGUCCACUAAGCUUGAGCAGUCUAAGCCAGUCUUCAACUCGUUGAUCCCACCAUCCUCCCUCAUUCCAGUUCUCUCCCUUUCUAUUCUCUUUCACCACUACAUACAAGACCAGAAGGAUUGCAGCUAUGAGAUC
rnacentral:lncRNA from 1 species